rnacentral:lncRNA from 1 species
AGGAAAACACGGAGGGGAGUAAGAAGCAGAGGUGGACCCGCGGCUCCAUGGCCCCUCGCCCUCUCGCACAAGGUGGACUCCCACUGGCGUCGUGAUCUUCUCUGGCGCACCCUUUUCUGCCGCCUUCUUCGUUCCUUUGUCUUCCCAUGAUUGGAGCGGCGAAAAGUUCUGGGUUCUGCUCCCCAUCCGGAGCAGAGAAGCCCUUGAACCACUGAGCUUGGAGGCAGCACAGGACCAGAGAAAGAAGGCGUCGGGGGGAGGAGGAUGGAGGCUUCGGAGCAGUAAAAGGGCAGUGCUCGUGGAUCUGUUCUCGUCAGCGGAGAGAUCUUGCUGCCCCCGCAAGGUCCUUUUCUAUCUCUUUGGGUCGCUUUAGUGGCCCGUCUUCUUUGGGAGAGUUCGGCCCUUGUGCACCGUCCACCGGGCCGCCUUCGCCUCCCUCUCUCCACCACCCUUUUGACCUGCCGGCGGCUUUCCUCCAGCGGCGCCGACUAAAUCGGCCGCCGAAAGAUAAACCCUG